rnacentral:rRNA from 1 species
AACGCGAAGAACCUUACCAGGUCUUGACAUCCCUCUGAUCGGUACAGAGAUGUAUCUUUCCUUCGGGACAGAGGAGACAGGUGGUGCAUGGUUGUCGUCAGCUCGUGUCGUGAGAUGUUGGGUUAAGUCCCGCAACGAGCGCAACCCUUGAUCUUAGUUGCCAGCACUUCGGGUGGGCACUCUAAGGUGACUGCCGGUGACAAACCGGAGGAAGGUGGGGAUGACGUCAAAUCAUCAUGCCCCUUAUGACCUGGGCUACACACGUACUACAAUGGCCGGUACAACGGGCUGUGAAGCCGCGAGGUGGAACGAAUCCUAAAAAGCCGGUCUCAGUUCGGAUUGCAGGCUGCAACUCGCCUGCAUGAAGUCGGAAUUGCUAGUAAUCGCGGAUCAGCAUGCCGCGGUGAAUACGUUCCCGGGCCUUGUACACACCG